CUUAUUUCAUACUGAUAAACAAGUUUUAGAUGAAUGUCAGUUUGGAUAUAAUCAGGAUAAUACGGGCAUGGAGAUUUUGUUUCAUUAGCAAGUGUUAUAAGGGUUAAUUCCGUCAUGGUCAUUCAACAAUUCCGGAACGCUGUGCCUCAUGAACCUCACGCAGAAGAACACAUUUUUCGGCAGGGCCAGCUUUCAGCAACUGAGACGCCUGCAACCGAAACCGUGAUUCCGGAGGCGUUUGUAAGAAAUGCUGGAAAGAAGGGUUCUUCCGAAGUACUGUCACCGUGUGAGAAACACUUAUUUAGAGUGACACACAGUUUCUUUAAAUUAGUCGUUAUCCACAAUGAUCGUCAGCUGGAGACUGGACCUUGUAUUGUCCAUGCCGACUGCAUAGAUCGUGUAGAAACGACAAGUUUGGAUCAUUAAUAAAUUGUUAUUCGAC